GUAGGUGGCAAGCGUUGUCCGGAAUUAUUGGGCGUAAAGCGCGCGCAGGCGGUUCUUUAAGUCUGAUGUGAAAGCCCACGGCUCAACCGUGGAGGGUCAUUGGAAACUGGAGAACUUGAGUACAGAAGAGGAAAGCGGAAUUCCACGUGUAGCGGUGAAAUGCGUAGAGAUGUGGAGGAACACCAGUGGCGAAGGCGGCUUUCUGGUCUGUAACUGACGCUGAGGCGCGAAAGCGUGGGGAGCAAACAGGGAUUAGAUACCCUGGUAGUCCACGCCGUAAACGAUGAGUGCUAAGUGUUAGGGGGUUUCCGCCCCCUUAGUGCUGCAGCUAACCCAUUAAGCACUCCGCCUGGGGAGUACGGCCGCAAGGCUG
rnacentral:rRNA from 1 species